rnacentral:rRNA from 1 species
GACGAACGCUGGCGGCGUGCCUAAUACAUGCAAGUAGAACGCACAGUUUAUACCGUAGCUUGCUACACCAUAGACUGUGAGUUGCGAACGGGUGAGUAACGCGUAGGUAACCUGCCUGGUAGCGGGGGAUAACUAUUGGAAACGAUAGCUAAUACCGCAUAAUAUUAAUUAUUGCAUGAUAAUUGAUUGAACGAUGCAACUGCAUCACUACCAGAUGGACCUGCGUUGUAUUAGCUAGUAGGUGAGGUAACGGCUCACCUAGGCGACGAUACAUAGCCGACCUGAGAGGGUGAUCGGCCACACUGGGACUGAGACACGGCCCAGACUCCUACGGGAGGCAGCAGUAGGGAAUCUUCGGCAAUGGACGAAAGUCUGACCGAGCAACGCCGCGUGAGUGAAGAAGGUUUUCGGAUCGUAAAGCUCUGUUGUAAGAGAAGAACGGGUGUGAGAGUGGAAAGUUCACACUGUGACGGUAUCUUACCAGAAAGGGACGGCUAACUACGUG